rnacentral:hammerhead_ribozyme from 1 species
AUCCAACUGAUGAGUUUAAAAUAAGACUAAAUGUACAUCCCGGAU